CUACGGGUGGCAGCAGUGAGGAAUAUUGGUCAAUGGGCGGAAGCCUGAACCAGCCAAGUAGCGUGCAGGAUGACGGCCCUACGGGUGGAAAACUGCGUUUAUACGGGAAUAACGCGCCUUACGUGUAGGGCUUUUCAUGUACCGUAUGAAUAAGGACCGGCUAAUUCCGUGCCAGCAGCCGCGGUAAUACGGAAGGUCCGGGCGUUGGCCGGAUUUGUGGGGUUUAAGGGGGGCGUAGGCCGCAUGUCAAGCGUGCUGUGAAAUGUCCGGGCUCAACCCGGGCCUUGCAGCGCGGACUGGCGUGCUUGAGUCCGCGGAAGGCAGGCGGAAUUCGUCGUGUAGCGGUGAAAUGCUUAGAUAUGACGAAGAACCCCGAUUGCGAAGGCAGCUUGCUGCAGCGGAACUGACGCUGAUGCUCGAAAGCGCGGGUAUCGAACAGGAUUAGAUACCCUGGUAGUC
rnacentral:rRNA from 1 species